AUAGCUUGCUAAAGGCCAACAUUUCCAGAAGCGGCCUCUGAGUUUGGGUGUGCAGCUUGACGCUGUUGGAUCUGAUUAUCAAAGCAGCAGAGGGCCCCCAUCAACUCAAUUUAUUGGGAGCACCCACAUUUCCAACUGAAUUCAUUCAGGUGCUCAGGUACCUCAAACUCAUGCCUAAAAGAAACUGUAAGCUGGCUACUCAAUAAGAGACAGCCACAAGGAGAGGUUACUUACCUUGUACAGUAACUAGAGUUCGAGAUGUGUCCCCCUAGGGAUGCUCCAUGUCAGAAUGUAUGCACGCUUGGGCACAGCUGAUCAGAGAUAUUCAUCAGCAACAUCUGUGGGUCUGCGUCUGAGUCGUAGACACCCUUGUAUGCCGGUACAGGGGUAUGUACGGAAGGGCCAGACCUGCUGCCACUCUAGUUCCUUCUAAACCAUGAAAAUCCAACGAAAGACUCCAAGGUAGAGGGUGGGUAGCGCAGCACCCAUAGGGAUGCACAUCUCAUAGCACUCCAGUUCCUGUACAAGGUAAGAAACUUCCUCUUCUCCUUUGAGUAGUGUCCCUAUGGAUGCUCCGCAUCAGGAGAUUCCUGAGCAGUACCUCAGUUACAAAGGAGGGUACCAAGGAGAUGGAUUCAGUAGAGACUGUAGAACAGUGUCCCCGAAAGCUGCAUCAGCUCUAGAAGAAGGCAGAAGAACAGAGGUGGGGAACACGUGCACCAAAUACCAGGUGGCUGCCCUGCAGAUGUCUGAGACAGAUAUAUUUUUCAGUAGGGCUACAGAUGUAGAUUGAGUCCUGGUGGAAGAAGUAUGAGGGUGGUGACACAACCCUCCCUCCCUCCCCCCACCUGGCUUCAUAACUAAGAUGCAUCCUGCAACUCAUUUGGACAGUCUUUGGGUGGAAAUCAUCUGUCCUUUCAUUCCUUCUGGGACUGAGAUGGAAGCCUAGGUGAACCUCUAAAGGGCCUAGUCCCAUCUAGGUAAAAGGCAAAAGCUCUGUUUUUGUCCAGCAUAUGGAGGCCCACUUCUUAAAAAUGCCAGUACGUGAAUCUCCUGAUUAACGUGGAAUUCUGACGAACUUACCACAAGAGAACACUAGCAGGUCAGCCAUUAAGGCUCCAAGCUCCCCUCUCUCCUGGCUGAGAUGAUGGCUGUGAAGAACAAGGUUUUAAGGGACAAGAGCAGGUAAUCCAGAAUGUGUCUCAGGACUCGAGCAGAGAUAUAGACUGCUGGCUGCACCAAGUCUGGAAGUGUUUCCACUUCUGGAGACCUUGAGCAGGAAAGGCGUCAGGGGAUAAGCAUAUAGCAAUGUGCCAGGCCAAGGGAUGACUACAGCAUCUCCAGUCAAGUUGUGGAAACACACUCCCCUUGUUUGCAUUGGAUGGCAUCACAAAAAGAGAUUCUCUCUGAAUGACCCUAGGUAAGACAUCUCUCAAAAUACUUAGCUGUUCAUCUCCCACUCAUGGUCAAUAAGGAAACCCGCCAUUGUGUUCUGUGCUCCUGGUAGAUAAACUGCUGAGAUCCGUAUAUGGUGUGAUAAGCACCAAUUCCAUAGUUUUAGCAAUUCAGUGAAUAAAUGACUGGAACCUUGCUCCUCAUUGUCCAUUGAUAUAAUACAUUGCUGCUCUAUUGUCCAGCAAUAUUCUGAUCAGGUGGCCCCAGAUGUGGGGUGGGAAUGCUGGCACGUGUAACAAACAGCUCUGAACUCUAAUAUGUCGAUAUGAAGGAUCUCCACCUGAGGCGAUGUAAUGCACGCUCCCAAUGAGGAGUCCAUUUGCUCUGAGCUGUGAUGUUUUGGGAGUGUGCACCCCAGUUUAUCAGGGAGGAGUCUUUAGUGAUGAUCCUUGUGGGCAGAGGCUGAAAAAAUGGAACUCCCACAAACACCUUUUUGAGGCUUUUCCACCAAUUUAGGGAAUCAAGGACCCACUGAAGUACGGACACCCACUUGGCUAAACUGUGCUUGUUGAGGGCACUGAUGCUUCUCAGCCAGGCUUGAAGACACAGAGCGUAGUCUUGCUAAGGGUAUUCCAAACAUACAGGCUGCUACGUGGCCCAAGCCUUGCAGGCUAGCCCUUGCUGUAGUUUGCAGGCUGUAUGGUAUCGUUGAAACAAGGUUGGACACUGUGACAAAUCUGUCUUUGGGCAAGUAUUUCUGGUAGUGGUGGAAGAGCAGAGUGGUGCUGAUGAAGUCUAUUUGAUGACUGGGUGUAAGGGUAGACUUUUCUGCAUUGAGAAGAAAGCCCAGUAAGUGGAACAGAAAUAGGGCCAUAAUGGCUGUUGUCUGUACCUUGAGAAAUGAGAAACCUUUCAGGAACCAGUCAUCCAGAUAGGGAAAAAUUAUUAUACCUAUGUGGAGAAGAUGGGCUGUGGCAGCCAAGAAUAAAGAUCCUUGGGGCAGUGCAAAGGCCAAAGAGUAGGAUAUUAUACUGGUAGUGAUCCCUGCCAACCAUGAAAAGUAACAUGCAUCUGGGCGAGGAGUGCAUGACAAUAUGACAAUAAGUAUCCUGAAAAGCAAGGGAAACAAACCAAUCUCCUAGGUCCAGGGAGGGAAUUAUCAGUGCUGGGGUGAUAACAUUCUGAAUCACUGAAAACAAAGGUGUUCGAAGUCCUGGGGGCCUAGAAUUGGUUUCCACCCUCCAUUUUACCUUGGGACCAGGAAGUACCGAGAAUAGAACUCUCUUCUGACAAAGCCCAGUGCAACAGGUUUGAUUGCCCUUAGCAUUAGGAGAGAUUGUACCUCCUGCCUCAAGAGACCUUAUGAAAAGGGUCCCUGAAGAGGGACGGGGAGUGAGGAGGGAGGACAAAAAGAAGGUGAACUGGAUGAAGUAACCUGUAGAACUCAUCUCCAGGAUCCAUCUGUCUAAGGUGAUGAGCUCCCAAAAAUGUAGAAAAUGGGUAAGAAUGAAGGGGGGAUAGGUGCAGCAUAGGAUCUCCAGUGGGAGAGUUUGUGAUCCUUGACCAAUGAUCAAAGCAGUUGUUUUCAGGGUUUUGCUGACUGUGAGGUUGCUGCAAAAGACAGCCCUUUCUCAGUGAAACUGGGCUUCUUCCGGGGUGUUCAGCUGGUUCUAUGGGCUGGUAUUGGAUUUGGUGAGACUGUUGAGCUGUCUGCAAUCCAUAGUAUUUUCUGCUUGUCGCAGGGGCUCAGGUGCCCAAAAUACUCACAGUGUUGCCAAGGAGUCUUCAAGAGAACAAAGGGACCAAUCUGUGAUGUCACUAAAUAACCUGAGGCCCUCGAAGAGAAGGUCCUCAAUAGUGUUUUGUACCUUCUGGGGAGGCUAGACAACUGCAGCCAAAAAGCUCGGCAUUUGAUUAGUGCCAUAGCUACAGAACGUGCAGCUGUGUCAGCAACACUGAGUGAGGCCUGGAGAGAGGCCUUGACAACCAGGGAGCUGGGCAUGGAUGUCCAUUAGGAAAUGUUGGGGUUCCCGUAUCUCCUCCAACAGAAUUUGUAAGGCCUUGAAGUCAUCAGCACAGGCUAGUUUGGCAGGAAUGACAGCUCAUCUGGAGAGGAGGAGAAUUUGUAGGAAGGUCGUGUUUCUUCUUCCUCAACUGGCUUUUGCUCCUUUUUAAGACCCUCCUGUGGAUCAGGACCCAAGAGUGUUGGUGGUUGUCCCUGGUGUGUCCUCCUGUAAGAUGGAACCCUAUAGAAACGGUCACCAUAAGGGGCCCAUGGGUUCCAAUAAAUCCACUGUAGUGGGACUUAAGGGAAGGUUGCAGGAUCUUAACGCUGUCAUUCUUAUCAUUGCUAGGAGUUUCCUGCCGCAGGGUUUACCUCAACGGAGGGAGGCUAGAAAUGGAGGAACCUUGAAAAGACACCUCUGAAUCAGAUGAGGUGUCAUCCCCUAUAUCUAUCAGAAGGGCAAGUGAUGCCUAUACUGGUGGUCGAGUUGGUACUGGGGCCCAGAGAGGGUCCUGUAACUGCAUCAGUACUGGAGGUCAGUAGUUGGUUGGCUAAUGAAAUGGUUCUGGAAAAUUUUGUGUGAUACCUCACGUUCUCCAAGUGCUCUAUCAAAGGAGUUUUAGUCUGCCCUCCCCCUAUUUCUUAGGCCUGCUUUAAAACCUGAGCAGGACUUGAGUGUCCCAGGCAGCAGAGGCAGCCUGAAUGUCUGUCGCUGGGGGGGAAGACCUAUGGCAGGUCUGGCAGGGUUUGAAGCUUGGGGUCUUUGCGUAACCCGUACUUAAGGCCACAGAUCAAGGCCCAGAGGGGAAAAAAAAAAAACAGGCUCAGAUCAGGCAAGUGAAAUGGGGAAAGGGAACACGCCCCUGUCAUAAAAGCACAAACUGUGUUAAAUAACUAGAAACAAAGAAAAUACCAAAGGUUAACAGAGAGUGGUAGCAAGCUGCAUAGCUAGGUAAGGACACUGCAACGCUCUGUCUCAAGCUGCAGGUGGUUGAGAAGGAAAUGGAGUGGCAGCAGGUCCUGCCCCUUCCUAUACACCUUCAGAUCGGAUCACAAGGGUCUCUAGGAUGCAGGCAUGGACCGCAGACAUUGCUGACAAAAUCUCCAAUUGAGAGUGUGUGGGUGUGCACGUCCUGACACGGAACAUUCAGAGGGACAUUACAGAAGUAUUAAACGGUCACUUUUGAAAAUUUGGCCCUUCAUCUCUCUGUGCUUUAGUUCUGCUAGCUGUAAAAACAGGAGAGUGGAACCUAAACAUCAGUCAAUGUCUCUUCAGUGUUUUCAAAAUGUAAAGUGCUACCUCACAGCUAAGUAUCAUUACAGUUUUAUGCUAAUGGCUGGCUGAAAGCUUCCUGUCUAUUGCUCGACUCCACCCAGUUCUCCUAAAUUCAUUCAUUUAGAGAACUGCUCUCAUCGGGAUUUUGUCAUCUACUCUCUUCCCACAAGAGGCUACAAAUAAAUAUUAGGAGAUUUCUGUGGUUCUUCACUG